rnacentral:rRNA from 1 species
UAAGGAAUAUUGGUCAAUGGAGGCAACUCUGAACCAGCCAUGCCGCGUGCAGGAAGACGGCCCUACGGGUUGUAAACUGCUUUUGUACCGGAAUAAACCCCUUUACGUGUAAAGGGCUGAAUGUACGGUAAGAAUAAGGAUCGGCUAACUCCGUGCCAGCAGCCGCGGUAAUACGGAGGAUCCAAGCGUUAUCCGGAUUUAUUGGGUUUAAAGGGUGCGUAGGCGGCCUAUUAAGUCAGGGGUGAAAGACGGUGGCUCAACCAUCGCAGUGCCUUUGAUACUGAUGGGCUUGAAUGAACCUGAGGUAGGCGGAAUGUGACAAGUAGCGGUGAAAUGCAUAGAUAUGUCACAGAACACCAAUUGCGAAGGCAGCUUACUAAAGUUUAAUUGACGCUGAGGCACGAAAGCGUGGGGAUCAAACA